ACUUCUUUCUUGUUGAUAUUUCUAGAAUAAAAACAAAACAACACAUAAAGCAAAUUACCACAGUGGAAAUUCGGUACAUUGCAGCGUACAUCGGCAAUGUCGCGACAUUAACAUGUUAAAUAUCUGAACAUAUGGCGGUAUUCGGUAACGUAAACCGUAAUGCAACUAUAUCAGGUGGUCUCAUCAGCUUUGUCGAGGACGUUACAUCUUUAAGAUUUCUCUCUCAGCUUUCACAAAGACGAGCGCUAGAAAGAGCAAAUGCCUAAGGACAUCUUUCGUGGAUCCCCAACCCAAUCUAAUACUCGCUGGCAAGGAGUUAAACAGUCUCAACGGUCUUAAAAUUGGAUCAUUCCGCGCAUAAUUGGUCCUCGCAGCACUUUCCUUAAAUGGGAUGACGGUACGGAGACUCCUGGCUGGGACAUUAAAUUAAAUAGUGGUUAAUAGGAAGGGACUAUCAAUAUUACCAAUUAUUAAAUCAUUGAAAAAAGCAGGCUCGCUAUCGAACGCCUAUCUACAAGACUGCAGGUAUGCAAUAGGCAUUAUUGGCUAGAGUAAGCUGGCAAAGGUUUCGAAAUGUGUAACGGCUGAACUGCAAAUUUUAAGUAUUUUUUCUGCAGCCUAACAAUUCUAUUAAUAUCAACAACGCCUGAAGAGUUCCAAGUGUUUCUUUCAAAAAAUCAGAACAUUGCAUAUGCCUUCGGCAGAAUAUGGUUUAUAUGAUUAAUAAACAAAUUUUAAUACACUGUUUACUGAUUUUGUUCAAGUCAGAUUGUAGCAAAUAACUGUCAUUUCUGGAAUUCACUGACAUGUAAAUUUUAUGGUUAUCCGCAUAAAGAAUAUGCUUGGCAGAUUGAAUGCAGAAACCAAUAUCAAUAAAGAAAAUAUUAAAAACCAAACAACCAAGGACAACUAGCAAACCCGGCGAACUCCGUUUCGCCACCAGAUGGCUUCGUUUUAUGUUACAUUUCGUUCGGUGAUUAAAAGAUAAAAAACAUUUUUUUGUUUUAUAGUUGAAAAGGAAAAAUUUUAUUUAAUUUUCAAACAGUAAUGAAUUUAUUUCGAUUACAUAAAUGAAGUGGUAUUUAGAUGAACUACUAUAAGUUAAUGAAAGUGAAUCCAAAGUAAAUACUGAAUCGAAGCGUUAUACGUGUCCGCAAAUUAUCCGCUUCAAUGAAGUGCUCUUUGGUUAACAUUUUCUGUUUUUUGGUAACACAAACAAAGCGGAUGGGU